rnacentral:rRNA from 1 species
AUGCCCGUCGUCAAAGUUCAGAUUACAGACAUUCCCGCAAACAAAAGGGUUCAGAUUACAGACCCUAGCACUUCGGAUCACCAUAAGCAAUGGCACUAUAGAAUGGCAUCCAAUCUGGGUGGUGUGUUAAUAACAAUAGAAUCAUUAGAAUUAGGUUCUAACUACCUCUCUUUGCCACAUGCCCCCGGGCCUGAUCAGAGUGGAUGCAAUCGGAUCCGGGGAAAUCAACUAUCAACUUUUAUCCCAUUCCAACCAUCGACGAGUACAGAGAUCACAACUCUUAUGCAUUUUGCUUAUGGCAAAUUAGUCGGUGUCCACAACGGAUGA